rnacentral:snoRNA from 1 species
AGCACUUGUGUGUGUUUUGUUUUACUCAUGGGCAAAGAUUUGCAGACAGGUGCAAACAAUAAAUGCUCUUUUGCAACCCAGAACUCAUUAUUUAGUAGGAGUUUUGAUACAUGUAAGAAGGACUGUG